rnacentral:rRNA from 1 species
UAGGUUGCGAGUCGGUGACGGCGAGCUAAUCUCUUAAAGCCGAUCUCAGUUCGGAUUGUAGGCUGCAACUCGCCUACAUGAAGUCGGAAUCGCUAGUAAUCGCGGAUCAGCACGCCGCGGUGAAUACGUUCCCGGGCCUU